rnacentral:rRNA from 1 species
UACGGGGGGGGCAAGCGUUGUUCGGAAUUACUGGGCGUAAAGGGCUCGUAGGCGGCCAACUAAGUCAGACGUGAAAUCCCUCGGCUUAACCGGGGAACUGCGUCUGAUACUGGUUGGCUUGAAUCCGGGAGAGGGAUGUGGAAUUCCAGGUGUAGCGGUGAAAUGCGUAGAUAUCUGGAGGAACACCGGUGGCGAAGGCGGCUCACUGGUCCGGUACUGACGCUGAGGUGCGAAAGCGUGGGGAGCAAACAGG